rnacentral:rRNA from 2 species
GAUUUCUGGCUUGAAACAUUUGGCCGGCCACGGUUUCGUGUGUUAGUGCUUUGUGUUCUGGCCAUCCUUCCAAUCGCGGCGUACGCUUCUUCAUUGAUGGGUGCGUCGUAUUGGAUCUUUUACUUUGAAAAAAUUAGAGUGUUUCAAGCAGGCUUUAUGCUAUGAAUACAUUAGCAUGGAAUAAUAAUUUAGGACUUCGGUUCUAUUUUGUUGGUUUCUAGGACUGAAGUAAUGAUUGAUAGGGAUAGUUGGGGGUGCUAGUAUUCAGCGGCCAGAGGUGAAAUUCUCGGAUUCGCUGAAGACUAACUUAUGCGAAAGCAUU